UUCAAGACUUUUGAAUAACACCAAUAAUACCAGUGUUUCUGGUUAUCAUUUUACAAUAAUUGUUUCUUUGUUUUUAUGUUCUGUCAUCCGAUGUUAUUGUGUUGAAAAUCUUUCUUUGUGCCAUUUGUUCAAAAUAAAGUACGUUUUGAAACAAGAAAAAAAAAAAAGAUAAAGGCGAUGUUUUUGGAGACAGCUGGCCUGACAGAUUGUCCAGUUCAGCCAUUCAACUCAAUCUAAAAACCACCUGCUUAUACUUCUCAUUCCAAUUUCUAUACCUUGUAAUCACACGUGAACGUGUGGACAUGCUUUUAAUCAUUCAGUUUUCUAAUAGUUUGAUUUCUCUCAUAAUUUAUUUCGUCAGUGAUGUAAAAACGACUCGACAAGACCACGUGGUUUCCAGUGCCAAUUCCAGGAAGUGCAACGGCGCCCCCUGCAGGAUUCGUGGCAGAAAUGUUCUAGAAGCUACCAAAGAUGCAAGGAGUCCAGCAGCCUCCACGAUCGAAAAGCCCCUCCUUCUAAUCACAAUGGAUGACAUCCCAAAGCUAAAAUAUUUUUCAUGAAGAUUUUCUCCAUUUACCUUGGUCCUCCAACGCGUGUCGAGGGCUCCGGAAUUGGACGUGUCCUAGUCGCUCCAGUGCGCUGCUACUUCGUCUGGUAAAGUAUCUGUCUGCACCUACUGUCUGUGCGGCUUUUGUAGUCUCUCAGAGCGUUCGAGAAAAUCCUAACUGAGAGCUUCCAGAACCGUCUGGAAUUCUCUGAGGUGCUUACAGUUGAUUGGUCGGCUGAAAUGCCAAUCAAUGCAUAUACCCGCCCGUCUUUCCAUUUCUGGCAGAAGGGGGCGGUGUUGAAGCGGAGCAGAGGUUUGUUCAGGGAAGAAGGCACGUGUGAGCAAAAACGAGAACUUGCCAUGCCGGGUUCACUGAAGAUUCCAGAACGUUCAAUUAAAAAAAAAAAGAGGGUAUCGAUGGAGAAAAUGAAACCUUCUUUCUUACAUUAUAAUCUGUGUGGCUGUAAAACCAAUUUUGCUUGUGUAAAACGCAGGGGGGCUAAUUAAAUCACUUAUGCAAUUGCCAUAUAAUAAAAAGCAGCCGGUUUGAUUUACAUAUUCAUUUUAUUAUAAAUUUUAAAGCUUUACAUAUAAAAUGUAACGGUUACAAAAAGAGGAAUAAGUCGAUACCUCUUGACUCUACUCUUAUGUUCUCAAAAGGUCUAAAUAAAUAUAUUAGAAUGAGGAUUAAAAGACAUUAUGGUCUGUAUUACUAAAAACAAACUUGUCAAGUUGACACUUUUCAGAAAUAAAGUUGAGGUAAAGAAAAAGUCAUUUUAAAAAG